rnacentral:misc_RNA from 1 species
UUUCCGUAGGUGAACCUGCGGAAGGAUCAUUAACAAAUCCAUGUUGUUGUUGUUUUGAUUGUUUUUGUUGAUGUGCAUGCCAUGUUUGUUCGUUCUGUUCAAUGUGUGUGUACAUUAAUGAUGCAUUCAUUACUAGCACACAUUAGUUCCAUAUGUGUACAUAUUCGUUCAUUCGUUUUGUGUACACAUUGUGUGAUACAUUUCUACGAAUCGUCUGAUUUAUUUAUUUCAAAUCAUAUUAAACAAUAACUUUUAACAAUGGAUCUCUAGGCUCUU